GGGCCUAUAGCUCAGUUGGUUAGAGCGCAUCGCUGAUAACGAUGAGGUCGCUGGUUCAAAUCCAGCUAGGCCCACCA
rnacentral:tRNA from 1 species